GCCCUGGUGGCGGAAUUGGCAGACGCGCUAGAUUCAGGUUCUAGUGAGCAUUACGCUCGUGGAGGUUCGACUCCUCUCCAGGGCA
rnacentral:tRNA from 1 species